rnacentral:rRNA from 1 species
UACGUAGGUGACAAGCGUUGUCCGGAUUUACUGGGCGUAAAGCGUGCGCAGGCGGUGAUGUAAGACAGAUGUGAAAUCCCCGGGCUCAACCUGGGAACUGCAUUUGUGACUGCAUCGCUGGAGUGCGGCAGAGGGGGAUGGAAUUCCGCGUGUAGCAGUGAAAUGCGUAGAUAUGCGGAGGAACACCGAUGGCGAAGGCAAUCCCCUGGGCCUGCACUGACGCUCAUGCACGAAAGCGUGGGGAGCAAACAGG